GGAAGUGAGUGGGGAGAAUUGGCUGUGACAUCUGUCACCCCGUCAUGUGCCAGGCUGAUUCAGCUCAUGUGGCGCCAUGGUGUCUCGUUCUCCCUCAGUACUCCAGGUGCCCUGUUCCAAAGAAGCAUGGUCAGUUUAUAAUGAUAAUUAUUCCUCAUAGAAGAGGGAUAGCCAUAGGUGAAGGCUACAUGAGUAGUUGAUCGAUUGUGUUGGGGCCUCGAAACACGGUCUCAAUAGUUGCUUUCGUGUUCACUGCAUGCCUGUUCCCACUUCCAGGCCUUUCACACUUUCUCAAUUACACUGCUGUCUGAACUUGACU
ensembl:misc_RNA 7SK 7SK RNA